ACGGAGGGUGCAAGCGUUGUUCGGAAUCACUGGGCGUAAAGGGCGUGUAGGCGGCCUGUUAAGUCCGAUGUGAAAUCCCCUCGCUCAACGAGGGAACUGCGUCGGAAACUGGCAGGCUCGAGUACCGGAGAGGAAGGUGGAAUUCCCGGUGUAGCGGUGAAAUGCGUAGAUAUCAGGAGGAACACCGGUGGCGAAGGCGGGUCUCUGGGCCGAUACUGACGCUGAGGAGCGAAAGCGUGGGGAGCGAACAGGA
rnacentral:rRNA from 1 species